rnacentral:rRNA from 1 species
AGAAGUGAGAAUGCCGGUGUGAGUAGCGAAAGACGGGUGAGAAUCCCGUCCACCGAUUGACUAAGGUUUCCAGAGGAAGGCUCGUCCGCUCUGGGUUAGUCGGGUCCUAAGCUGAGGCCGACAGGCGUAGGCGAUGGAUAACAGGUUGAUAUUCCUGUACCACCUAUAAUCGUUUUAAUCGAUGGGGGGACGCAGUAGGAUAGGCGAAGCGUGCGAUUGGAUUGCACGUCUAAGCAGUAAGGCUGAGUAUUAGGCAAAUCCGGUACUCGUUAAGGCUGAGCUGUGAUGGGGAGAAGACAUUGUGUCUUCGAGUCGUUGAUUUCACACUGCCGAGAAAAGCCUCUAGAUAGAAAAUAGGUGCCCGUACCGCAAACCGACACAGGUAGUCAAGAUGAGAAUUCUAAGGUGAGCGAGCGAACUCUCGUUAAGGAACUCGGCAAAAUGACCCCGUAACUUCGGGAGAAGGGGUGCUCUUUAGGGUUAACGCCCAGAAGAGCCGCAGUGAAUAGGCCCAAGCGACUGUUUAUCAAAAACACAGGUCUCUGCUAAACCGUAAGGUGAUGUAUAGGGGCUGACGCCUGCCCGGUGCUGGAAGGUUAAGAGGAGUGGUUAGCUUCUGCGAAGCUACGAAUCGAAGCCCCAGUAAACGGCGGCCGUAACUAUAACGGUCCUAAGGUAGCGAAAUUCCUUGUCGGGUAAGUUCCGACCCGCACGAAAGGCGUAACGAUUUGGGCACUGUCUCAACGAGAGACUCGGUGAAAUCAUAGUACCUGUGAAGAUGCAGGUUACCCGCGACAGGACGGAAAGACCCCGUGGAGCUUUACUGUAGCCUGAUAUUGAAAUUCGGCACAGCUUGUACAGGAUAGGUAGGAGCCUUUGAAACGUGAGCGCUAGCUUACGUGGAGGCGCUGGUGGGAUACUACCCUAGCUGUGUUGGCUUUCUAACCCGCACCACUUAUCGUGGUGGGAGACAGUGUCAGGCGGGCAGUUUGACUGGGGCGGUCGCCUCCUAAAAGGUAACGGAGGCGCUCAAAGGUUCCCUCAGAAUGGUUGGAAAUCAUUCAUAGAGUGUAAAGGCAUAAGGGAGCUUGACUGCGAGACCUACAAGUCGAGCAGGGUCGAAAGACGGACUUAGUGAUCCGGUGGUUCCGCAUGGAAGGGCCAUCGCUCAACGGAUAAAAGCUACCCCGGGGAUAACAGGCUUAUCUCCCCCAAGAGUUCACAUCGACGGGGAGGUUUGGCACCUCGAUGUCGGCUCAUCGCAUCCUGGGGCUGUAGUCGGUCCCAAGGGUUGG